rnacentral:tRNA from 1 species
GAUCACAUAACCACCCCGUAGGGGUGGCUGAUGCUUAAUCAGUAGGUUGAAGGUUCGAUUCCUUCCGCGCUCACCA